rnacentral:rRNA from 1 species
CGGGUGAGUAAUACUUAGGAAUCUACCCUUUGGUGAGGAAUACCCUCGAGAAAUCGGGGUUAAUACUGCAUAAGUCGAUGAAUAAUCGAGAAAGAUGGCCUCUUUGCUAUCGCCGAAGGAUGAGCCUACGCACUAUUAGCUAGUUGGUAGAGUAAAAGCCUACCAAGGCGAAGAUGGUUAGUCGGCCUGAGAGGGUGUACGACCACAAUGGAACUGAAACACGGUCCAUACUCCUACGGGAGGCAGCAGUGGGGAAUAUUGCACAAUGGGCGCAAGCCUGAUGCAGCGACGCCGCGUGGAGGAUGAAGGCUUUCGAGUUGUAAACUCCUGUUAAGUGGGAAGAAAGACUGUUGACUAAUAAUCAGCAGGGAUGACGGUACCACUAGAGAAAGCACCGGCAAACUUCGUGCCAGCAGCCGCGGUAAUACGAAGGGUGCAAGCGUUAUUCGGAGUUACUGGGCGUAAAGAGUAUGUAGGCGGUUUGUUAAGUUAGUUGUUAAAGACCACGGCUCAACCGUGGAAAGGCAGCUGAUACUGAUGAGCUAGAGCGCAGAAGAGAGGAGUGGAAUUCCCGGAGUAGCGGUAAAAUGCGUAGAUCUCGGGAGGAACACCGGUUGCGAAGGCGGCUUCUUGGUCUGUGGCUGACGCUAAAGUACGAAAGCGUGGGGAGCAAACAGGAUUAGAUACCCUGGUAGUCCACGCUGUAAACGAUGAUCACUAGAUGUGGGUCGGGCAUAGCCUGAUCCGUGUCGAAGCUAACGCGUUAA